GUGGGGAAUAUUGGACAAUGGGCGCAAGCCUGAUCCAGCAAUGCCGCGUGCAGGAAGAAGGCCUUCGGGUUGUAAACUGCUUUUGUACGGAACGAAACGGUCCGGGUUAAUACCCUGGGCUAAUGACGGUACCGUAAGAAUAAGCACCGGCUAACUACGUGCCAGCAGCCGCGGUAAUACGUAGGGUGCAAGCGUUAAUCGGAAUUACUGGGCGGAAAGCGUGCGCAGGCGGUUUUGUAAGACAGGCGUGAAAUCCCCGGGCUCAACCUGGGAAUUGCGCUUGUGACUGCAAGGCUGGAGUGCGGCAGAGGGGGAUGGAAUUCCGCGUGUAGCAGUGAAAUGCGUAGAUAUGCGGAGGAACACCGAUGGCGAAGGUAAUCCCCUGGGCCUGUACUGACGCUCAUGCACGAAAGCGUGGGGAGCAAACAGGAUUAGAAACCCCAGUAGUCC
rnacentral:rRNA from 1 species